CGAAUGCUGACAUAAGUAACGAUAAAGCGGGUGAAAAGCCCGCUCGCCGGAAGACCAAGGGUUCCUGUCCAACGUUAAUCGGGGCAGGGUGAGUCGACCCCUAAGGCGAGGCCGAAAGGCGUAGUCGAUGGGAAACAGGUUAAUAUUCCUGUACUUGGUGUUACUGCGAAGGGGGGACGGAGAAGGCUAUGUUGGCCGGGCGACGGUUGUCCCGGUUUAAGCGUGUAGGCUGGUUUUCCAGGCAAAUCCGGAAAAUCAAGGCUGAGGCGUGAUGACGAGGCACUACGGUGCUGAAGCAACAAAUGCCCUGCUUCCAGGAAAAGCCUCUAAGCAUCAGGUAACAUCAAAUCGUACCCCAAACCGACACAGGUGGUCAGGUAGAGAAUACCAAGGCGCUUGAGAGAACUCGGGUGAAGGAACUAGGCAAAAUGGUGCCGUAACUUCGGGAGAAGGCACGCUGAUAUGUAGGUGAAGUCCCUCGCGGAUGGAGCUGAAAUCAGUCGAAGAUACCAGCUGGCUGCAACUGUUUAUUAAAAACACAGCACUGUGCAAACACGAAAGUGGACGUAUACGGUGUGACGCCUGCCCGGUGCCGGAAGGUUAAUUGAUGGGGUCAGCGCAAGCGAAGCUCUUGAUCGA
rnacentral:rRNA from 1 species